rnacentral:rRNA from 1 species
CUCCAGACUCCUACGGGAGGCAGCAGUGGGGAAUAUUGCACAAUGGGGGAAACCCUGGUGCAGCGACGCCGCGUGAGUGAAGAAGUAUUUCGGUAUGUAAAGCUCUAUCAGCAGGGAAGAAAAUGACGGUACCUGACUAAGAAGCCCCGGCUAACUACGUGCCAGCAGCCGCGGUAAUACGUAGGGGGCAAGCGUUAUCCGGAUUUACUGGGUGUAAAGGGAGCGUAGACGGCGAUGCAAGUCUGAAGUGAAAGGCGGGGGCCCAAUCCCCGGACUGCUUUGGAAACUGUAUAGCUGGAGUGCAGGAGAGGUAAGUGGAAUUCCUAGUGUAGCGGUGAAAUGCGUAGAUAUUAGGAGGAACACCAGUGGCGAAGGCGGCUUACUGGACUGUAACUGACGUUGAGGCUCGAAAGCGUGGGGAGCAAACAGGAUUAGAUACCCGGGUAA